rnacentral:rRNA from 1 species
UAAUACAGAGGGUGCGAGCGUUAAUCGGAAUUACUGGGCGUAAAGGGCGCGUAGGCGGUAGAGGGGGUGUGAUGUGAAAGCCCUGGGCUUAACCUGGGAAGGGCAUCGCAAACUAAGCUACUGGAGUAGAUGAGAGGGUGGCGGAAUUUCCGGUGUAGCGGUGAAAUGCGUAGAGAUCGGAAGGAACGUCGAUGGCGAAGGCAGCCACCUGGCAUCAUACUGACGCUGAGGCGCGAAAGCGUGGGUAGCGAACAGGAUUAGAUACCCUGGUAGUCCACGCUGUAAACGAUGAGGACUAGAUGUUGGUAGGGGAACCUAUCGGUAUCGAAGCGAACGCGAUAAGUCUUCCGCCUGGGAAGUACGGCCGCAAGGUUG